GGGCGGAUGGAUCCAUUCUGUGCUUGCUGCACCGCGCGGAACGUCCUGCGGGGCCUUGAGAGUGGGUCCUUACCUGGGAGUUAAGGCUACCAGCUCUUCCUGUCCCUCAUCUGUUUUCAUCAGUGAUUCUUGAAUCUGCACCGUCUGGGACGUUGUCACAAACGCAAAUUCCCUGACUCCACUCCAGACCUACCGGAUCAGAAAUUCUGUGUGUGGGUCCAGACACCUGUAUUUUAAUAAGCCCUCCAGGUGAUUCUGGUGCACCCUGAAAUUCGAGACCCACGUGUGGUCCUCACAGCAUCCUGUCAGCCACCGGGGAGGCCUCAGAUGACCACUCCAAUUGACAGAGGACACAACAAAAGCUUAAAGGAGGUUGAGUGUUGCUAAAGGCCACACGAUUGUCCUGGAGGAGAGCUGUGCUAGGACCAGCUCUUCUGACAUCCAGCCCAAUUUCCUGUUCUCAGCAAACAUUUAUGGAGUGCCAACUCUGCACUGUUCUAAGUACUGGAGAAGCUGGGGGAAACAAAAUAAAAUCCCUGCCUCUCGAGCUGACAGUGGGAAAAGACAAGCUGUAAAUAAGUAAUUAUCUAUCGCCGAGUAACAAACCAUCCCCAAACUUAAUGGUGUGAAACAACAACCGUCUUAUUGUGCUCCUGGAUUCUGUGGGUCAAGAAUUUGAAAAGGGCACCGCUCUUCUCCAUUCUGUGACAUCUGGGGCCACAGAUGAAGUGACCUGAAUGGUUAGCAUCCUGGAACCACUUCCAAGAUGGCUUCUUCACUCACCUGCCUUAUGCCUGGGCUGUCUGGGCCAGCGGAAGUUUGGGUGCAGCCGGCACUGUUGGCUAGAUUGUCCACCUGGGGCUUCUCCAGCAUGACAACACCAAGAUAGGGAUUUCUUCCCUGGCAGCUCAAGCUGCACGAACAGCGACCCUAUGAACAAGGUGGAAGCUUCACAGCUGGCUUCUUGCUCCUAGCCAGUGAAGUCAAGGAGCUUCACUUCUACCAUAAUCUAAUUGUUGAAGCAGUUACAAGUCUUCCCUGAUUCAAGGCAAGGGAGUGUUGAAUAAUUUGCAGCCUUGUUUUAAAACCACCACACUAUCAGAGCCAGAUGUGGGAGGAAUUCUUGUGCAAUUAAUUCUGUUAUCACUCAGGAUUAGAUUUGGCUGCAUAGGACAAAACACACACACACACACACACACACACACACACAUAGAAACAGUGGCAUAAACAAUAUAGAAGUUGAUUUCUCCCUCACAUAAGCAAAGCCUGGAAGGAGGUUGUCAGGACUGGUUCAGUGUUCACAGUGUUAGGGUUCCUUCUGCCAUGUUGUUUAACCACUCUGAGUGGUUUUACCACAUGACUCGAGGUGGUUGCUUGAGCUCUGGUCUUCAUAGCCACAAUCCAGCGAGCAGGAAGAAGCAAGGGUAAGGGAGUUUCAUUUAGGGAGAUUACUCAGAAGCGCCAUCUGACAAUACCACUUAUCGCCCAUUGGCUACACUCUCAGUCAUAUGGCCAUGCCUGGCUGCAAAGGAGGCUGGGAAUUCUAGUCUUUAUUUUGGAAGACCAUGGGCCCAGAGAAACAAGCAAACGACUCAGGGGGGUUCCAUUGUUCAGAAAGGAGAGGAGAAUGCAUAUUGGCAGACAUCCACAGGUUUCUGCCACACCUUUUUAGUCCAUUUUAUUUCCUGUUCUGCCACUGACCUUCUGUGGGCUUGGACAACACACUUUCUGUGGUGUUGUUACCAGUUCGUCUGGUAAUUAGGGAGGAGGGUGCUGUAGUCUCAGAAGGCAGCUCAAAGCAUUCGACAGAUAAAAGUGUCAAUGCUCUGGUUUUAGGGAAGAGAACUGGAGCCUCAGUCAGCCUCUUUUUCCUUUCCUGAGUGGUCUCCCAGGGUUUCUGGGAGCCAGAUUUUUGAAAACUCCCCUAUUAGGAGUUUUCAAGGACACUGAGGCCCUUCCAGGAACAAGGCCUGAAGAAUUCGUGUUUGUCACAUUAUGGGAGUAACUCCUCCCUGCACUUAACCAGGUUAUACCUUCCAUUAGACACCUCCCCAGCAAGUUCAAAGAGAUGCCUACAGAAGUGAGUGUGAGAUACAAAGCCAGCCAUUAACUGAGCACUUUCUGUGUGUCUGACUCUAUGCCAAGUUCUGCCAUCAUGAAGUGACCACAGCUCAUACUCUAAGUCCCUUACAUUCUUUUUGUUACAAGGCUGGGGUAAAUUAAACACGACCCAAUGUACUAAGCAUUGUAACAAAGUAUGAGGGUGUUAACAGAUUGAAUCGAGUCCCUCAACAAGAUAUGUUGAAGUCCUAAUCCUUGGUACCUAUGAAUAUGACCUUAUUUGGUCCUGACAGACAUAAUCAAGAUGAGGUCAUCAGAGUGAGCCCAGAUCCGAUGUGACUGGUGCCCUUAGAAGAAGAGUAGAAGAGACAGAGACAGACACACAUCAGAAGAAUGACAAUGGAGGCAGAGGUUGAAGCAAUGCAUCGAUCAGCCAAGCAAUGCCAAGGAUUUCAAGCAACACCAGAAACUAAGAGAAAUGUAUGGAAUGGGUUCUCCCUAGAGUGUUCAGAGAAAGCAUGGCCUUGCUGAUGGGACUAAUUGAUUUUGGGCUUCUAGCCUCCAGAAUGGAGAGGGAAUACAUUUCUGUUGUUUUCAGCCACCCAGAUUGUGGUACUUUGUUAUGGCAGCCCUAGGAAACUAAUAGAGAUGGUCAAUUUGAUGUGUCAGCUUAGUUGGGUUUUAAUCCCAAGUUAUUCACUCAAACACUAAAUUAGAAGUUGCCAUGAAAAUAUUUUGUAAAUAUAAUUAACGUCUACAAUCAGUUGACUUUAACUAAUGGAGAUUAUGUAGGUGGGCCUGAUUCAAUCAGUUGAAAGGCCUUAAGAGCAGAACUGAGGUUGCCUUGCAAAAGAAGAAAUUCUGCCUGUGGACUGCAGCUUCAGCUCAUGUCAGAGAGUUUCAACCUUCCCUCCUGAUGGCCUGCCCUACAGAUUUGGGACUUGCUUAACCAGCCCCUGCAGUUGUGUAAGCCAAUUCCUUGCAAUAAAUCUCUUACUAUAUCCCC